AAGGGAUCGAAGCCUGAAAUUGAAUUUUUGACGUCGAAAUCGAGCCUUGCCGGAUUCUGCAAAUUUUCGCCGGAUUCUGGAAAUUUUCCGGCCACCUCGACUGUUUUAGGUGAUCGAUGGAUUUAUUUGGCGGACGAUUCAGAUUGAUAUUUGGCUUUUAGAAGACGCAGCGGGAAUUGGAGCGGGUACUACUACAGGUCAAGAGAAUCAGGAUGGAGAUCGAGCUGCGUAGAGUAGCUGCAAUUGUGUCGAUCUAAAUUACUUUGUGAGGUGUAUUAUGCUCAUUUAGAGCUUUACAAUAUUGCUUGUGAGAGUGAAUUGUAAUAAUGAACUCGAGGUUUCGAGAUUUGGAGUUUGUGUACCGUGUGGUGAGGUUAUAUUGAGAAAAAAAUUCAGAACG